UGAGCGUAUCAUGGCUUAAUUAGCUGUGUCACUUUCGAUUUUAUGUCAUUAAUUGCCAGAGACAGACCUUAGGAAAUGUAUAAUACUUGGUUUUCCAUGUGACACGCUUGUUUGAUAUAGUCUUAUCCCUUUGUUUUCAAAUGAAUUUCCAUACAUAUGGAAAGAAGAAACACUUGAUAGUAGAUGAAAAAACACCCUCAUAUAUAAUGCUUCAUGAAUAUGCAAAACCAUGCCAACAGUCUACAGACUCCAGAUGGAAAAAGACAGAGAAAGAAAUUCUAAAGGGGUAUUCAAGGACCCAUCCUCCUCGAAACCAAUUCAUAUCGGAAGGAAUUAACAUCCAACUUGAAUGAAGAAUUACAGACUUCCAGAACAGACCCUUUAAAAAAGGAGAAGCCAGAUCUUCAGAAGACUUCCUUGAAAAUGAGAAUUUUUUGAGUGGAAGUGAAGAAUAUGGCAUGCAUACAAGCAUUCCCUCCCUCUUGUUUGUAUCAGAGGUGAGCUUAUGGAGGAACUUUGAGAGUGUCAGUUCUCAGAUCAAGAAGUUAGCUAACAGUAGGAGGAGUAGUAAUUCAUUCCACUGUAUGGCCAGAGAAAUAUAUGACAUAAAAGACCUGAAAAAGGAGAUUUGGCAUUGUUUCAUGUGGAAAUUGAAGAAUCUUUGAAAUGGAUACAUGCAACACAGACAUGUUUCAGUUACUUGGGGAUAAAACUUAUGAGGAAUUUUGCUAACUUUCAGAUGGGAAUGUGUUGCACAAGAAAUGCUUGAUCACAACCUUCUUUUAUUAGAAACCUUUUCUAUGCAAAUAAUUAUUUUAAAUGAAAUUUAGCUAUUUCAUUAGACUAGUAAACAUGUUUUCUGUGCAAGUGUGUGUAAUUGACAUUAAAUGCUAUGAUAUAUUGAAGUAUUCUUAAACAAUGGAAGAUCUCUACUAGUUCUUUCAAAGGAAAGCCAACAACAGGAAUCGAACCUGUUCCUCCAUCGUACAGAUACGAAAGUGUGCACCAGUACACCAUGUUGGCAUAUAUUAAGAACUAGUAGCCUUGGAGGGUAAAUAUUGUAUUAUUCUUGUACAGUUGAUGUGAUAUAUAUAUAUAUAUAUAUAUAUAUAUAUAUAUAUAUAUAUAUAUGUGUGUAUAUAUAUAUAAUAUACAUACAGCUUAGUGUAUAUAUAAUGUAUGCCUCAUGUUUGCUAGUCGUCAAUAAAGCAUUUGAAUUGAA